rnacentral:rRNA from 1 species
AUGGAGUCGACGUGCGUGUCGUGCGGCGAGUGCCCGGUGAUUCCGGAACCGGCCUCGGGCGUGCUCGUCUGCACCGCCUGCGGCGUCGUCCACGACGCCGACGCCGACGAGUUCGUCAACUCCACCUGCUUCACCGAGGGCGGGGAACUCGGCCGUCGCGCCGCCACCACCGUCCACCACAGCUCCCAGUCCCCCUACCUCGACCACAAACUCUACGCCGCCUCCGACGUCAUCACCUCCAUGGCCGCCCGCUUCUCACUCUCGGCCAGCCGCGUCGACGAGGUCCUCAGAAUAGCCCAAUCCGCCACCGACAGGAAUCUCGCCUGCCUGGGCACUGCCUUUCUCCCUGCGCUCGCAGCCGCCUGCACCUUGCUCGUCGCGCGAUCCCACCGCCUUCCGAUCUCCUUCGCCGAGGCCGCUGAGGCCGCGGCCUGCACCACGUUCGCGCUUGCUAACCUCGUGUACCGCAUCGCCUCCCAACUCUACCUCCCUCCCCUCCCGUCCUUUGACUACUCCGCCGCGCUCGAACGCGCGGUGGAACGCUCAGGCAAGCUCACCGAAGCUGCGGGUGAGAAGAGGGAUGCCAUCCUUUCCCAAGCCCGAUUUCUCCUCUGUUGCGCCUCCAAGUGGUCGCUCACGACCGGAAGGCACCCGCUCCCACUUGUCGCUGGCGUGAUAGCUUUCGCGGCAGAGCUGAACAAGGUCACCUCUGUCUCUGUGGAAGAUAUUGCCCUGGAUAUUUCGGCGGUGCCGCACACCAGCCGCCUCCGAUACAACGAACUUGUUGCUGCGCUGGUGGGUGCCGCGCAGAAGUUGCUUCCGUGGGGCUCCGACGUCAAUACCAGAAACCUUCAGUUAAGUGCCCCCAGCCUGCUGCAGCUCAUGCAGAUGCAGACACAGUCCGGCCAGUCGGAACAGUUUCAAGAGUGCUUCCGUCCAGACAUUGCCAGCACUGUGAAGGAGUACUCAUCUGUUGACUUGGACGAAUCCAAGUACUUCCAGAUUGACCCCCUUGAUGUUGAUGAUUUCGAUUUCAAGAAUUAUGGGCAAGAGUUGAAGGAACCAGAGGAUUUGAAGAUCUUAGAGGGAUGCAUGUCAGAUACUUACCAGAAUAUCUUGAAGAGGAUUGCUCAGCUAAAGGAACUUGGGAACUUUGGUAAAGUUCCUAGCAGGAGGAAGCGGUGGAAGAGAGAGUUGGAGCUGGAACCAUGGGAUAAUGCCCAGACCAAGAACAAACCCCUCGAGGAGGAAGCAGAUAUUGACAUUGGCUAUGAUGCACCUCCUCCAUCCUUUACUGCUGGAGUGGAUUUGCAGAAGCGGAGGCGAACACGGAUUGAAGCUGCUAAGUGUCGGAUCAAUGAAAUUAUGAAGGCUCCUGCUACUCGUAUUGCAAAUGCAAUUGAUUCACCGUCUGCUCUUGGACAUGAAGAUGUCUGUCCACCACAAAAAAAUAUCAGGAAAAAUCAAUGGCGAAAGAGACGAAAUGAAAAGGAUCAUCUGAGAGAGAUUUCAAAUGCUCCGGACUGUGUGAAGAAGAGAAAGAAAAGAGACUCAUGUAAUGUUAUUGACUGGGAAGAUUGUGUCAUUGAGCUCCUGUUAUUACAUGGUGCAAAUGAAGCAGAGAUAGAACAAGGCCAGUACAAAAGAUUGUUGGAGCUGCGUGUCUUCAGUGCAUAA